CAGCAGCCGCGGUAGUACGUAGGUCCCGAGCGUUGUCCGGAUUUAUUGGGCGUAAAGCGAGCGCAGGCGGUUAGAUAAGUCUGAAGUUAAAGGCUGUGGCUUAACCAUAGUACGCUUUGGAAACUGUUUAACUUGAGUGCAAGAGGGGAGAGUGGAAUUCCAUGUGUAGCGGUGAAAUGCGUAGAUAUAUGGAGGAACACCGGUGGCGAAAGCGGCUCUCUGGCUUGUAACUGACGCUGAGGCUCGAAAGCGUGGGGAGCAAACAGGAUUAGAUACCCCUGUAGUCCCUGUCUCUUAUACA
rnacentral:rRNA from 1 species